CCUACGGGAGGCAGCAGUGAGGAAUAUUGGUCAAUGGACGAGAGUCUGAACCAGCCAAGUAGCGUGAAGGAUGACUGCCCUAUGGGUUGUAAACUUCUUUUAUAUGGGAAUAAAAUGUUCCACGUGUGGGAUUUUGUAUGUACAAUAUGAAUAAGGAUCGGCUAACUCCGUGCCAGCAGCCGCGGUAAUACGGAGGAUCCGAGCGUUAUCCGGAUUUAUUGGGUUUAAAGAGAGCGUAGGUGGAUUGGUAAGUCAGUUGUGAAAGUUUGCGGCUCAACCGUAAAAUUGCAGUUGAAACUGGCAGUCUAGAGUGCAGUAGAGGUGGGCGGAAUUCGUGGUGUAGCGGUGAAAUGCUUAGAUAUCACGAAGAACUCCGAUUGCGAAGGCAGCUCACUGGACUGCAAAUGACACUGAGGCUCGAAAGUGUGGGUAUCAAACAGGAUUAGAUACCCGUGUAGUC
rnacentral:rRNA from 1 species